rnacentral:rRNA from 1 species
CUGACGUGUGAAUAGAGGAGCUUGCUUCUCUGAUCAGUGGCGAACGGGUGAGUAACACGUGAGCAAUCUGCCCUUGACUCUGGGAUAAGCGUUGGAAACGACGUCUAAUACCGGAUACGACCCUUGGAGGCAUCUCUGGGGGUGGAAAGAAUUUUGGUCAAGGAUGAGCUCGCGGCCUAUCAGCUAGUUGGUGAGGUAAUGGCUCACCAAGGCGACGACGGGUAGCCGGCCUGAGAGGGUGACCGGCCACACUGGGACUGAGACACGGCCCAGACUCCUACGGGAGGCAGCAGUGGGGAAUAUUGCACAAUGGGCGAAAGCCUGAUGCAGCAACGCCGCGUGAGGGACGACGGCCUUCGGGUUGUAAACCUCUUUUAGUAGGGAAGAAGCGAUGUGCUUGCCACAAAGUGACGGUACCUGCACAAAAAGCACCGGCUAACUACGUGCCAGCCGCCGCGGGAAUACGUAGGGUGCAAUCGUUGUCCGGAAUUAUUGGGCGUAAAGAGCUCCUAGGCGGUUUGUCACGUCUGCUGUGAAAACCCGAGGCUCAACCUCGGGCCUGCAGAGGGUACUGCCAUACUAGAGUGCGGUAUUGGAGAUUGAAAUUCCUGGUGUACCGAUGUAAUGCGCAUAUAUCAUGAGGAACGCCAAUGGCGAAGGCAGAUCUCUGGGUCAUAACUGACGCUGAGGAGCGAAAACAUGGGGAGCUAACCUGAUUAUAUACCCUGGUAG